rnacentral:piRNA from 1 species
UUUUGGUCUGAUUUUGACUUGCACUCUAGA